rnacentral:rRNA from 1 species
UACGAAGGGGGCUAGCGUUGUUCGGAAUUACUGGGCGUAAAGCGCACGUAGGCGGAUUUGUAAGUCAGGGGUGAAAGCCCGGGGCUCAACUCCGGAAUUGCCUUUAAGACUGCAUCGCUAGAAUUGUGGAGAGGUAAGUGGAAUUCCGAGUGUAGAGGUGAAAUUCGUAGAUAUUGGGAAGAACACCGAUGGCGAAGGCAGCCAUCUGGACCGACACUGACGCUGAGGCGCGAAAAGCGUGGGGAGCAAACAGGG